UUUGGUGGAGGUAGGCCUAAGUGUUAUGAUACUGAAAUAUAUAGACUCGAGAUGAUUCUGUGAUGGGUUAGAGCUGUUGUACCAUUGUGAUUAUUGGGGGAUUGUGGGGUUAGGAAAUAUAUUGGUGAUGGUGGAGGAUUGCCUGGUGUGUGUGUGUGUGUGUGUGUGUGUGUGUGUAUUUACCUAUUUGUGGUUUACAGGGCCUGAGCUAAGGUUGUAUGAUCCUGUCUCCUUGUCUAUAUUUGUCCAAUUUUUUCUUCACAAUAUCCUCCUUUAGACCAUUCCACUCAUCCACGCUUUUGUAUGGGAAACUAUUUUUUUUGUGUGUGUGUGUGUGUGCCUGUUGUGUGUGUAUAUGUGCGUGUGUGUGUGUCAGGGCUGGCAAUACAUCUAAUUUAUUAUGAAGAACCACCAUCCCUAAAUCCCCCUUUAUGAUAUGUUAGUCUGUUAGGAUGGAUAGUUGUGAGCAAGUUGUGCUGGGGAGGCAAGUAUCUAUACAUGCUACAAACCCUCUCUCAAAUGUCAGAGAAGUGUAUAUCUUUAGCUCUCUUUGUGGUUCAUUGAGGGCAGCGAGUGAAUGAUGCAGGCAGAGCAGUCGUGAGGUUAGUAUAAAUAUAAGAAAGUGUCGAUGGAGGGUGGAUAAUAUUCUGAAUGAAGAAGACGAUGAAAAUAACAGGUUCACUGGAGCUGCCUUGUGGUUCAUUAAGGGUACUGAAGGAGUGAUACUGAGCAGUCAUGAGGUUAGUAUAAAUAUAUGAGUGUCAAUGGAGGGUGGAUCGAUGUUUGGAUGAGGAAGACAGAAUGAAGAAUAAUAGGUUUACUAGAGUUGCCUCGUGUUGGCUGACUGGCCUAGCACAGAGCCAUAGAUAGGGAGAGUUAUGCUACUUGCAGUCUUUCAUCCAUACCACUCAUGCUCACUGCCUACCACUCGGAGCUCCUGCCUCAACACCAGCUGCUGGAAUGUCAAAUAUCACAAUUUUUAUUUCUUGGUGUUAAACUUGUGUUCAGGCAGAAGCGCUGGGAUAGGAGGAAGUGAGCCUGAGCAGCGUUCCCAGAUUAUUGUACUCAGAGCAUUGUAUUUUUCGGUUUCCACACAACUGUUGCAAAAGAAAGACACCAGUAAUUAACCAUUUCAAUGAUAACUAUAAAUAAAUCUAACUAUUGAGGUGGAGACAGUUUUAGGGUUGGAAAUCGGCAAAUAUAAGAGGCUGGGCACGACAAUCUGGCAACGCUGAGUCCAAGUGGUUUAAGUGGAAAAUGGUGUUGAGGAAGCCCAUGGCCACACUCACCCCAUCUACGGCUCUGGCCUGGCACAGUAUUCUUGUUCCUUGGUGAGACAGUAGACAGAGGCAUUUACUCAACACAGUGGUGGGAGUGUUCAUGGGGCGGUGACUGAGUGCAUAAUAUUACUACUUAGUCUCAGCUUCAAAGCUAUUUUUAUAUGUAAGCAAGCAAUAAUAUAUUCUUACGAUUUGUAUAUGAGAAGCUUGGGAAAUAUUUCUUUAUGUAUUUAAAGAAUAAACAUUUUUAUUACUA